UACGAAGGGGGCUAGCGUUGCUCGGAAUCACUGGGCGUAAAGCGCACGUAGGCGGCUUUCUAAGUCAGGGGUGAAAUCCUGGAGCUCAACUCCAGAACUGCCUUUGAUACUGGAGAGCUUGAGUCCGGGAGAGGUGAGUGGAACUCCGAGUGUAGAGGUGAAAUUCGUAGAUAUUCGGAAGAACACCAGUGGCGAAGGCGGCUCACUGGCCCGGUACUGACGCUGAUGUGCGAAACGUGGGGAGCAAACAGGG
rnacentral:rRNA from 1 species